rnacentral:rRNA from 1 species
GCCUACGGGACGCAGCAGUGGGGGAUAUUGCACAAUGGGGGAAACCCUGAUGCAGCGACGCCGCGUGAGUGAAGAAGUAUUUCGGUAUGUAAAGCUCUAUCAGCAGGGAAGAAAAAAGACGGUGCCUGACUAAGAAGCCCCGGCUAACUACGUGCCAGCAGCCGCGGUAAUACGUAGGGGGCAAGCGUUAUCCGGAUUUACUGGGUGUAAAGGGAGCGUAGACGGCAGGGCAAGUCUGGAGUGAAAGCCCGGGGCCCAACCCCGGGACUGCUUUGGAAACUGCCAUGCUGGAGUGCUGGAGAGGG